GAUUUGGGUCUUACGCAACAGAACACUUCGAACCGUGUCAGAUCUUGACGGAAGCAGCACUAAGGAGAGCGUUUUGUGUGCCGUAAGGUUGCCUGAAUCGAGU
rnacentral:SRP_RNA from 1 species